UACGGAGGAUCCGAGCGUUAUCCGGAUUUAUUGGGUUUAAAGGGUGCGCAGGCGGAAGAUUAAGUCGGUGGUGAAAUUUUGCAGCUCAACUGUAAAAGUGCCAUUGAUACUGGUUUUCUUGAGUGUGGAUGAAGUAGGCGGAAUUUGUGGUGUAGCGGUGAAAUGCAUAGAUAUCACGAGGAACUCCGAUUGCGCAGGCAGCUUACUAAACCAUAACUGACGCUCAGGCACGAAGGCGUGGGGAUCAAACAGGAUUAGAUACCCCGGUA
rnacentral:rRNA from 1 species